rnacentral:rRNA from 1 species
AUUGAACGCUGGCGGCAUGCCUUACACAUGCAAGUCGAACGGUAACGCGGGGCAACCUGGCGACGAGUGGCGAACGGGUGAGUAAUGUAUCGGAACGUGCCCAGUUGUGGGGGAUAACUGCUCGAAAGAGCAGCUAAUACCGCAUACGACCUGAGGGUGGAAGCGGGGGAUCGCAAGACCUCGCGCAAUUGGAGCGGCCGAUAUCAGAUUAGGUAGUUGGUGGGGUAAAGGCUCACCAAGCCAACGAUCUGUAGCUGGUCUGAGAGGACGACCAGCCACACUGGGACUGAGACACGGCCCAGACUCCUACGGGAGGCAGCAGUGGGGAAUUUUGGACAAUGGACGCUAGUCUGAUCCAGCCAUGCCGCGUGCGGGAAGAAGGCCUUCGGGUUGUAAACCGCUUUUGUCAGGGAAGAAACGCUCUGGGUUAAUACCUCGGGGUAAUGACGGUACCUGAAGAAUAAGCACCGGCUAACUACGUGCCAGCAGCCGCCGUAAAAC